rnacentral:rRNA from 1 species
CCUACGGGUGGCUGCAGUGGGGAAUAUUGGACAAUGGGGGGAACCCUGAUCCAGCCAUGCCGCGUGUGUGAAGAAGGCCCUCGGGUUGUAAAGCACUUUCAGUGAGGAAGAACGCCUGGUGGUUAAUACCCAUCAGGAAAGACAUCACUCACAGAAGAAGCACCGGCUAACUCCGUGCCAGCAGCCGCGGUAAUACGGAGGGUGCGAGCGUUAAUCGGAAUUACUGGGCGUAAAGCGCGCGUAGGUGGCUUGAUAAGCCGGUUGUGAAAGCCCCGGGCUCAACCUGGGAACGGCAUCCGGAACUGUGAAGCUAGAGUGCAGGAGAGGAAGGUAGAAUUCCCGGUGUAGCGGUGAAAUGCGUAGAGAUCGGGAGGAAUACCAGUGGCGAAGGCGGCCUUCUGGACUGACACUGACACUGAGGUGCGAAAGCGUGGGUAGCAAACAGGAUUAGAUACCCGAGUAGUC